GACGUAGGGCGCAAGCGUUGUUCGGAAUUACUGGGCGUAAAGGGCUCGUAGGCGGCCAACUAAGUCGGAUGUGAAAUCCCCAGGCUUAACCUGGGAACUGCAUCCGAUACUGGAUGGCUUGAAUCCGGGAGAGGGAUGCAGAAUUCCAGGUGUAGCGGUGAAAUGCGUAGAUAUCUGGAGGAAUACCGGUGGCGAAGGCGGCAUCCUGGACCGGCAUUGACGCUGAGACCCGAAAGCGUGGGAUCAAACAGG
rnacentral:rRNA from 1 species